GCCUCAGUAGCUCAGUUGGUAGAGCGCGUGCUUGGUAAGCACGAGGUCCCGGGUUCAAUUCCCGGCUGAGGCUC
rnacentral:tRNA from 1 species